UACGUAGGGGCUAGCGUUAUCCGGAAUUACUGGGCGUAAAGGGUGCGUAGGUGGUUUCUUAAGUCAGAGGUGAAAGGCUACGGCUCAACCGUAGUAAGCCUUUGAAACUGGGAAACUUGAGUGCAGGAGAGGAGAGUGGAAUUCCUAGUGUAGCGGUGAAAUGCGUAGAUAUUCGGAGGAACACCAGUGGCGAAGGCGGCCUACUUGGCUCUAACUGACGCUGAGGCUCGAAAGUGUGGGGAGCAAACAGGAUUAGAUACCCUGGUAGUCCCUGAGCGGG
rnacentral:rRNA from 1 species